rnacentral:lncRNA from 1 species
GAACACACUGCUAUCAAGAAUUGGGAAGGAUCGUGCUUCAUAGAGCUGCACUUCAAAGGUUGUUGUUCAAACUUUUUUCAUUCGAAUCUCACUGGAUCUUGCUCAUUUCUUGUGUUUGUUGGCUCCUCUAAAGUCCUCUCAUAAGAGGCAAUUGAAUUGUGUACUUAAUUUCAUAAAUCCAUCAAGUUCAGUUUGAACUCCAUAAUUU